GUUGACUCUUUAUAAAUUCUUCAAUUUGACUUAUGGUGCUAUGGAUCAGAUGCUCUUUGUGACCUUCUGGAUGAAGUAUGUGCACCCUACAAGAUCACAGGAAGGGAAGUUUUUAGUGACCUAGGCAUAGAGUAAUAGGAAGAACAAUCUGUACACUGUGGACAGGAGUAGAAAUGGUGAUGGAUGGUCUGGCAAGACGCAUUUGGCUUUUCAGGAAAUACGUAUGUCCUGGAAUCUUUUGUUGGAAC